UGGGGAAUAUUGCACAAUGGGCGCAAGCCUGAUGCAGCCAUGCCGCGUGUAUGAAGAAGGCCUUCGGGUUGUAAAGUACUUUCAGCGGGGAGGAAGGCGAUGCGGUUAAUAACCGCGUCGAUUGACGUUACCCGCAGAAGAAGCACCGGCUAACUCCGUGCCAGCAGCCGCGGUAAUACGGAGGGAGCAAGCGUUAAUCGGAAUUACUGGGCGUAAAGCGCACGCAGGCGGUCUGUCAAGUCGGAUGUGAAAUCCCCGGGCUCAACCUGGGAACUGCAUCCGAAACUGGCAGGCUUGAGUCUCGUAGAGGGGGGUAGAAUUCCAGGUGUAGCGGUGAAAUGCGUAGAGAUCUGGAGGAAUACCGGUGGCGAAGGCGGCCCCCUGGACGAAGACUGACGCUCAGGUGCGAAAGCGUGGGGAGCAAACA
rnacentral:rRNA from 1 species